rnacentral:lncRNA from 1 species
CCCCCAUGUUCCCUCUGCCACCUGGCAAGAAUCCAAGGUCAAAGUUUUGGGUUUAUUUAGCAUUUAUCCAUAAAAAGUAUGAACUUGGCUCUAUUCCAAGGAGGUUUAAAAUGUGCAAAGAAAGCAAAUCCAGGAGACGUGACAGUGACAGCAUAUAACCCACUCACUCUGUGCCUCCACCCAAAGGUAAGCCCCACUUAGUGCUUCAACCCACAAGUAUUGUUCCUACUCAGUGCCUCCAUCCACAGGUAAUAUUCCCAUUCAGUGCCUCCAUCCAUAGGUAAUGUUCCAUUAAGUGCCUUCACGCCAGUAGUAACCCCUCUACCCCCAUGCAGUGCCUCCACAUCAUUGUAAACCAACUAACACAAUGCCUCCACUCUCAUUGGAACCCAACUUCAUGAUGCAACCACUCCACUGGAAACUCAACCUCUCAGUGCCUCCAGGCUCUACCUCACUGCAUACCCACAAACUUAGCAUUGCCACCUGAGUACAUAAUCACCCACCCUGUGCCUAACUCCACUAAUUAACCCCCACCCCUCACACACUCAUUGCAUCUGCCCACCUAUUCAGUGUCUGCACUCCACUGCAAACCCAUCCAACAGUUGCCUCUUGGCCAAUAAUAGCCCACCCACAACCUGCCUCCACCACAUUAGUAACCAAAUGAAAUGACGCAACUACCCCUCUGGGAGACCAACUAUGUAAUUCCAUGUAUCCAACCAUUGGUAUCCAAAUAAACUACUGCCACCACCUCACUAAUGAUCUGCAAAUUAGUGUGUGCACCCCACUUGUAACCUAAACAUUCAGUCCCUCCAGUCUAUCCAAGUCCUAAAUAUUGUAAGCCUACUGUACACCUAAAUGGUCAUUGAUAACCCAAACAUGUAGCACCUUCGCCCAAUACCAGAUGUUCCAUGACCUUGCCUUGGUGAAAUCCCAAAUGUUCAGUGCCUCCACCUUUACUGAUAACCCAAACAUUGAAUAGCCUCCAUCCAGUCGAUAAACCAAAUGUUUAGUGCCUCUGUCCAACUGAUCUAAACAUUUACUUCUUCCACCCCACUGAUAAGCUAACUUUUCGGUAACUCCACUAAUAACCCACUCCAUGCCUUCUCUGCACUGGUAACACAACUGAUCAGAUCCUUAUCCCUGCUGGUAACAUUGUAACACAAAAGUCUUGAGUUUGGUCAAUAUUCCACAAAUCGCCUACAUUCUAAGUCCUUACAAUCAUAUAAGAAAUCCCUGCAUUAAUCUUCGGUUCCUGAGCUUGUCAAUACCAGGAGGGGGGAAUGAGCUGAAAAACACCCCCAUCCCAAGUAGUCUACCCCAACCCAGUGGAAAAUAGCCCAGACCCCAAAGGAAAAAAAAAGAUAAUCCCACCCGGAGUAUCCAGGCCAAUCCUGAGGGAUGUACCCCAAUCCCAACCCUCCAGUACACCCACCCCAAAGGAAUAUACCCAUUGUAGUGGCACUCUCUGUUAUGCUGGUUGUGUGUUUUCUCUGAUCAUACACACAUAGCGUCAUGGGUAGAGAUAGUUACACUUACACUAGAUUAAGGGUGAGGAAAGGGCUGUCUGAU